rnacentral:misc_RNA from 1 species
UUGGAUCUCAGUUGUUGCCCAACUGUCUGUGACACUAGAAUUUGCCCUCAAGCCAAUUACUGUGCAGACAUGUUCCCUUAUCAUCUCUAAAACCUCAAAGCCAUGAAUGGAUUCUAGUUCCCAGUCCUUUGGAGGCCAUAUCUCUAGUCUGCCAUUAUAAAUGCACCUAGAGAGUUUUGGAACCAAAGGGACUCUGAUCUCAGAGAAUUUGAAAAAUAUUAACAUGUAUAUGACAUCUUCAACAGCAAUUUGGCACUCGUGUU